rnacentral:lncRNA from 1 species
UGAAAUAAUGUAUAAACAUGAGAAAUAUGUAUUGAUAUUGGUAUGCAUAAUUCACAAAGUGUUUCGUUAGGCUUUUUAUCUCUGAUGGGUUUUUAUUUCUCCUCCCAUUUGGUAUGAAAAGACGUGAGAUGACCGCUCCUUAUGGAUGAUGGCGUACUCUCUGGCGAGAGUGAUGAUGCUAUAUGAUUGUAGGGGUCACCUUUGGCGAAGAACGACCGUGGCCAUAGCUAACAUGUAGG